rnacentral:rRNA from 1 species
UACGGAGGGUGCAAACGUUGCUCGGAAUCAUUGGGCGUAAAGAGCGUGUAGGCGGUCCGGUAAGUCGGCUGUGAAAGUCCAGGGCUCAACCCUGGGAUGCCGGUCGAUACUGCCGGACUAGAGUUCGGAAGAGGCGAGUGGAAUUCCCGGUGUAGCGGUGAAAUGCGCAGAUAUCGGGAGGAACACCUAUGGCGAAGGCAGCUCGCUGGGACGUUACUGACACUGAGGCGCGAAAGCGUGGGGAGCGAACAGG